rnacentral:rRNA from 1 species
AUGCAGACACCCAAGCUAGCCAUCUUGCUCGCCCUAGCCAUGGCAGCCGCCAUGGCUAACCCUUCCCAGGCGCAGAACUCGCCGCAGGACUACCUCUCACCUCACAACGCUGCCCGCGCCGCGGUCGGGGUGGGCGCGGUUAGCUGGAGCACGAAGCUGCAGGGGUUCGCCCAGAGCUACGCCAACCAGAGGAUCAACGACUGGAAAAUAAAUAAAAUCAGUAUUUUUAGAAGGCAUGAGCCACAAUCAUUGGAAUUAUGGUCACAAGGAAAAUGA